rnacentral:rRNA from 1 species
UACUCGAGUGGCGAACGGGUGAGUAACACGUGGGUGGUCUGCCCUGCACUUCGGGAUAAGCUUGGGAAACUGGGUCUAAUACCGGAUAGGAACCAUCUUUAGUGUGGUGGUUGGAAAGUUUUUUCGGUGUAGGAUGAGCUCGCGGCCUAUCAGCUUGUUGGUGGGGUAAUGGCCUACCAAGGCGGCGACGGGUAGCCGGCCUGAGAGGGUGUACGGCCACAUUGGGACUGAGAUACUGCCCAG